CCUACGGGAGGCAGCAGUUAGGAAUUUUGGGCAAUGGGCGAAAGCCUGACCCAGCAACGCCGCGUGGGGGAGGAAGGCCUUCGGGUCGUAAACCCCUUUUCUGGGGGAAGACUAGGACGGUACCCCAGGAAUAAGCCCCGGCUAACUCUGUGCCAGCAGCCGCGGUAAAACGGAGGAGGCUAGCGUUAUCCGGAUUUAUUGGGCGUAAAGGGCGCGCAGGCGGCCCUGGAAGUUGGGGGUGAAAUCUCCCGGCUCAACCGGGAGGGGUCCCGCAAUACUCCGGGGCAAGAGGUCAGCAGAGGAAGGGGGAAUUCCCGGUGUAGGGGUAAAAUGCGUAGAUAUCGGGAGGAACCCCGUUGGCGAAGGCGGCCUUCUGGGCUGAGCCUGACGCUGAGGCGCGAAAGCGGGGGGAGCGAACCGGAUUAGAUACCCCUGUAGU
rnacentral:rRNA from 1 species